rnacentral:misc_RNA from 1 species
GAAAUGCGAUAAGUAAUGUGAAUUGCAGAAUUCAAUGAAUCAUCGAAUCUUUGAACGCACAUUGCGCCCGCCAGUAUUCUGGCGGGCAUGCCUGUUCGAGCGUCAUUUCAACCAUCAAGCCCCCCGGCUUGUGUUGGGGACCUGCGGCUGCCGCAGGCCCUGAAAAGCAGUGGCGGGCUCGCUGUCACACCGAGCGUAGUAGCAUACAUCUCGCUCUGGGCGUGCUGCGGGUUCCGGCCGUUAAACCACCUUCGUAACCCAAGGUUGACCUCGGAUCAGGUAGGAAGACCCGCUGAACUUAAGC